rnacentral:rRNA from 1 species
CAGUCGCCGCGGUAAUACGAAGGGGGCUAGCGUUGCUCGGAAUGACUGGGCGUAAAGGGCGCGUAGGCGGAUCACGCAGUCAGAUGUGAAACUCCUGGGCUUAACCUGGGGGCUGCAUUUGAGACGCGUGGUCUAGAGUGUGAAAGAGGGUCGUGGAAUUCCCAGUGUAGAGGUGAAAUUCGUAGAUAUUGGGAAGAACACCGGUGGCGAAGGCGGCGACCUGGUUCAUAACUGACGCUGAGGCGCGAAAGCGUGGGGAGCAAACAAGAUUAGAUACCCGCGUAGUCCCUGUCUCUUAUAC